UCCUUUACUACCUCAUUGACCUGCAGCUACUUCCGGGGUCUGCUGGGGAUUGCAUUUUUUCGUCUAUAGAACACAACAAGCCAGAGAGAGUCCGGAGCUUCUCGUACAGGCCCAGAGUUGCAGUUCUAUACGGGAUUCUGAAAGCUGCUGUCUAAGGAUGGACACAGAGCAGAGUGGGAAAAUGGAAAUGGAUCACACCAGCGUAAACAACGG
rnacentral:lncRNA from 1 species